rnacentral:rRNA from 1 species
CACGUAGGGGCCAAGCGUUGUCCGGAUUUAUUGGGUUUAAAGGGUGCGUAGGCGGUCUUUUAAGUCAGUGGUGAAAGCCUCCAGCUUAACUGGAGAACUGCCAUUGAUACUGGAAGACUUGAGUACAGACGAGGUAGGCGGAAUUGACAGUGUAGCGAUGAAAUGCAUAGAUAUUGUCAAGAACACCGAUUGCGAAGGCAGCUUACUAGACUGUAACUGACGCUGAGGCACGAAAGUGUGGGGAUCAAACAGG